rnacentral:lncRNA from 1 species
UGGAAGACCUGGAUGCUUCAUACUUUGUAUAUAGAUGCCUCAUGUUACGAAGUUUCCGUCAGUCACAUGUCCAAUGUCCUUGACCUCAUUUUCAUGGUUCAGUGACCACUUGAAAAAAAAGUUCAAAUUUUUUGUAAUGUUGAAUUCUCUCUUAUUAUAAGUAAUAGGAUAACUAUAUUUGAUAUGUGCGUACCUUGCAAGGUCCUAAUGUCUGUCAGACAGUUUUCACUUGACCUCGACCUCAUUUCAUGGAUCAGUGAACAAGGUUAAGUUUUGGUGGUCAAGUCCAUAUCUCAGAUACUAUAAGCAAUAGGGCUAGUAUAUUCGGUGUAUGGAAGGACUGUAAGGUGUACAUGUCCAACUGGCAGGUGUCAUCUGACCUUGACCUCAUUUUCAUGGUUCAGUGGUUAUAGUUAAAUUUUUGUGUUUUGGUCUGUUGUUCUCAUACUAUAUGCAAUAGGUCUACUAUAUUUGUUGUAUGGAAUGAUUGUAAGGUGCACCUAUCUAGCGGG